UAUGGAUCACCAUGGAAAACAAACUGAUCAUCUUGCUGAAACCUCUGAAAGAUCUAGUCGGCUUACCUGAGUACCUAAAGAGGCCGCCAUCAUUUCCACCCCCUCAACACUGAACUUCAAUGACUUUGGAGGACAAUACAGAUUACAUUUGUAGCAUGCAGGUCCUCAAACAGAGAGGGUGGCUGUCGUCAACAACUCAAGGCAGAACCAAUCAACUGACCUGAGAUGCAAAUAAAUCCAGAAGAGAAAAAAGCCUCAUUGUAUGAGGACAAGCUA